UAGUUUGUUACUAGGGAAGUCUCUCUGAAUGUGUAGCACAACGGAAACCACGAGGAAGAGGCGCAGUGUUCUCUCCUGAGCAUGAAGCCGGUGUUGCUUUGGUGUUGCUCCUUAGUGUUGCUUUGCUGUAACUGCCGCUUGCCAUUGAAGAUCGUUCUUCUUCUCUUCCCGGAGAAGUGAGAGGGAGAAAACACGGUCUGAGUGGU